GGGGAUUUGGCUCCAGUGGUAGAGCGCUUGCCUAGGAAGCACAAGGUCCUGGGUUCAAUCCCCAGCCCCG
rnacentral:tRNA from 1 species